rnacentral:rRNA from 1 species
CCCGGUGAGAACGCCCUUAAUUUCCCGUUAGGAAUAAGGAGCCGGUAUCAGGCACAUUUUUUAGCCCAAGACGCCUAGCCAUGCCACACCCAUAAGGGACCUCAGCAGUGAUUAAUAUUGAAUAUGAGCGACAGCUUGAUUCAGCUAAAGUAAAGAGGGCCGGCAAAUCUGGUGCCAGCCGCCGCGGUUACACCACGUGGCCCAAAUCGACCUUACUCGGCGUAAAGCGUGAUUUAAGAGAUGAACUCAUGGUGUCAAAAGAGUACUAAGCUGUGACACGCUUGUGCUUCAGAAGACCAAAAACGAAAGUUACACCAACCCCACUCACUUGAACCCACGACAGCUUGGAAACAAACUGGGAUUAGAUACCCCACUAUGCCUAGCCGUAAACUUUAACUUACACUUCAAUCGCCAGGGGACUACAAGCAAAGCUUUAAACCCAAAGGACUUGACGGUACCCCAAAUCCACCUAGAGGAGCCUGUCCUAUAAUCGAUAACCCCCGCUUAACCUCACCUCUUCUUGCCUUUCAGCCUGUAUACCUCCGUCGUCAGCUUACCGUGUGAGCGCCACUAAGUGAGCUUAACGCCCAUACACCAAUACGUCAGGUCAAGGUGCAGCUUAUGAAGAGGGAAGCGAUGGGCUACACUCUCUAAAGUAGAAAAAACAAAAGACUUCAUGAAACCUAGUCGGAAGGAGGAUUUAGUAGUAAAAAGAAAUUAGAGUGUUCUUUUUAACCCGGCACUGGGGUGUGUACACACCGCCCGU